rnacentral:rRNA from 1 species
GACGAACGCUGGCGGCGUGCCUAAUACAUGCAAGUCGAACGCUGAAGCUUGGUGCUUGCACCGAGCGGCUGAGUUGCGAACGGGUGAGUAACGCGUAGGUAACCUGCCUGGUAGCGGGGGAUAACUAUUGGAAACGAUAGCUAAUACCGCAUAAGAGUAGAUGUUGCAUGACAUUUGCUUAAAAGGUGCAAUUGCAUCACUACCAGAUGGACCCGCGUUGUAUUAGCUAGUUGGUGAGGUAACGGCUCACCAAGGCAACGAUACAUAGCCGACCUGAGAGGGUGAUCGGCCACACUGGGACUGAGACACGGCCCAGACUCCUACGGGAGGCAGCAGUAGGGAAUCUUCGGCAAGGGACGGAAGUCUGACCGAGCAACGCCGCGUGAGUGAAGAAGGUUGUCGGAUCGUAAAGCUCGGUUGUAAGAGAAGAACGAGUGUGAGAGUGGAAAGUUCACACUGUGACGGUAUCUUACCAGAAAGGGACGGCUAACUACGUG